GCCUCUGUAGCUCAGUAGUAGAGCGCGUCCUUGGUAAGGACGAGGCCGCGAGUGCAAUCCUCGCCGGAGGCU
rnacentral:tRNA from 1 species